rnacentral:rRNA from 1 species
AUUGAACGCUGGCGGCAGGCUUAACGCAUGCAAGUCGAGCGGAGAGAGGUAGCUUGCUACCGAUCUUAGCGGCGGACGGGUGAGUAAUGCUUAGGAAUCUGCCUAUUAGUGGGGGACAACAUUUCGAAAGGAAUGCUAAUACCGCAUACGUCCUACGGGAGAAAGCAGGGGAUCUUCGGACCUUGCGCUAAUAGAUGAGCCUAAGUCGGAUUAGCUAGUUGGUGGGGUAAAAGCCUACCAAGGCGACGAUCUGUAGCGGGUCUGAGAGGAUGAUCGUCAAACCUGGGACUGAGACACGGCCCAGACUCCAACGGGAGGCAGCAGUGGGGAAUAUUGGACAAUGGGCGCAAGCCUGAUCCAGCCAUGCCGCGUGUGUGAAGAAGGCCUUAUGGUUGUAAAGCACUUUAAGCGAGGAGGAGGCUACUUUAGUUAAUACCUAGAGAUAGUGGACGUUACUCGCAGAAUAAGCACCGGCUAACUCUGUGCCAGCAGCCGCCGUAACAC